GCCGGUUGCGAGGUGGCUCGCUCGUUCUGCGAUCUAUUGAGAGUGGCUUCUGAGAGCCCACUGUUGGUGUCGGGCGGGAGGGAAGAUGGCGGCGGGCGGCCUGGUGGGGAAGGGGCGCGACAUCAGCCUAGCGGCCCUGCGGCGCCACGACCCGUAUAUCAACAGCAUCGUGGACGUGGCCAGCCAGGUGGCUCUGUACACUUUCGGCCAUCGGGCCAACGAGUGGGAGAAGACUGAUGUGGAAGGAACCUUAUUUGUUUACACAAGGUCUGCUUCUCCAAAGCACGGAUUCACCAUUAUGAAUAGGCUGAGCAUGGAAAAUAGGACAGAACCCAUUACUAAAGACCUGGAUUUCCAACUCCAGGAUCCUUUCCUUCUCUACAGAAAUGCCAGAUUGUCCAUUUAUGGAAUUUGGUUUUAUGAUAAGGAAGAAUGCCAAAGAAUUGCAGAGCUUAUGAAGAACCUAACUCAAUAUGAACAGUUGAAAGCCCAUCAGGGAGCUGGAGCAGGAAUGUCCCCCAUGAUCCUCAAUUCAGGAGAGGGCAAAGAAGUAGAUAUAUUACGAAUGCUCACCAAGGCCAAAGAUGAAUACACAAAGUGUAAAACCUGUUCUGAGCCAAAACAGAUAACCAGUUCAUCUGCCAUCUAUGACAACCCCAAUCUCAUCAAACCAAUUCCAGUGAAACCCAGUGAAAACCAGCAACGGCGCACACCUCAGCCCAGUCAGGUCUUAGACCCUGAACCCCAACACUUAUCCUUGACAGCUCUGUUUGGGAAGCAGGGCAAAGCUACAUGUCAGGAAACUGUGGAGCCUCCACAGACCCUCCACCACCAGCAGCAGCCAGAGAAGCUUCCGAUUAGGCAUGGGGUUGUUCGCUCUCUGUCCUAUGAGGAACCCAGAAAACAGUCGCCGCCCCUGGAGAAGCAGCUCUGUCCAGCCAUCCAGAAACUCAUGGUCAGGAAUGCAGACCUCCACCCAGUGUCAGAGCUGCCUGAACACCGGCCCUGUGAAAACGGCAAUACCCAUUCUUCUGGGGAAGUUUUUACUAGACCUGUCCAGCCAGGGUCUCCUCAUAUGAUUGGGACUUCUCAUGGUGUACGAAGUGCUUCCAAAGCCCAGAACCUGUUAGAGAAGCUUCAGAGCACCCCAGGGGCAGUGAACAAGUAUGACCCUAGUGCACGAGCAUCUGCCAGCUCAGCUGCCCCAAACUGCAGCAGAACUCUCCGUGCUGCCACCCUGGUGGCUCCAGUAAAGGGUUUGGCUCAGCCACAACUGGUAUAUUUCAAUGGCUCCCUUCCGCCUCAGGCAUUAGGACAUCAGGCUCAUGGAAAAGAACAGUCUACACUCACAAGACAAAUGCUCCCCCUCUCUGGCAAUCAGACUAGCAGUUCUGGAGUGAUCUCCCCUCAGGAGCUACUUAAAAAGCUUCAGACUGUGCAGCAGGAGCAGCAGCUGCAUGCAUCCAACCGACCAGCCUUGGCAGCAAAGUUCCCUGUGGGAACUCAGAGCUGUAGAACAGGGAAACCCUUGGAAUCCUGGAUCAACAAGACAUCCGGCCCAGAAAAGCCGACUCCUCUUUUUCAGGUCAUCUCACCCCAGCACAUCCCUGCUACGGUGGCACCUUCUCUGCUCAUGUCCCCCAGGGCGUUCACACAAUCCACCUCUGCUCCACCAAAGGAGAGGGAGAGUGGGCUCUUGCCCCUGGGAGGCCAGGAGCUACCUGUUGCCUCCACCAGCCUCCUCCUGCCCCUGCAGAGCCCAGAGCCCUCCUGGAUCACCAGCAGCCCACUCACCAAGCUGCAACUUCAGGAAGCACUGCUAUACCUCAUCCAGAACGACGACACCUUCUUAAAUGUAAUCUAUGAAGCCUAUCUCUUCAGCAUGACACAAGCAGCCAUGAAAAAGACUGUGUGAAAGCAAAUCCAUUUAAAACUGGAUUCCAAGUCCUUCUAGAACUCCAGCACAAGGUCAUAAAAUGGAGGAUGGGAAGAAAAUAGGUUUCCUUGCAGUUUCUGCUGCCUAGACUUGGACUUUCAGCUCCAGACCUUUGUUCAGCCACACCAUCGAGCAAAAGGUCUAUCAGAACACCUCCCCCACUCUCCCGCAGGAGGGUACUUUUUCUUCUAAGGAGAAAAGCAUCAAAUAAGUAAAACAAAUAUCAGUUGCAGCACCUAAUUGGAAAAGAUGGCCGUGUGCUGAUGUGAUAGAGGAAUGAAUACGAUCCCAGCAUGGUCAGACCUACACAGCAAGCUUCACUCGGAUCUUUUUAGGUCAACGCCACAGUGAUCUAUUUUGAAAAAUAAUAAAUUCUCCAUUCUUUACUAGAAUAAAUCACUUUGAAAGUGA